GCCAGCAGGACCAGGGCAGGGAUUGUCCCCUGUACUCAGCACUGGUGAGGCCACACCUCGAGAGCUGUGUCCAGUUCUGGGCCCCUCACUACAAGAAGGACAUUGAGGGGCUGGAGUGUGUCCAGGGAAGGGCAACAGAGCUGGGGAAGGGUCUGGAGCACAGCUCAGGUGAGGAGCAGCUGAGGGAGCUGGGGGUGUUUAGCCUGGAGAAAAGGAGGCUCAGGGGAGACCUUGUCACUCUCUCCAGCUCCCUGAAAGGAGGCUGUAGCCAGGUGGGAUCAGUCUCUUCUCCCAGGUAACAAUGACAGGGCAAAAGCAAACAACCUCAGGCUGCACCAGGGGAGGGUUAGUGCCAGGUCUGGUUUACAGGAUGGUGUUUGGUCAUAGCUUUGACACAAUCUCAGUGGUCUUUUCCAACCUAUUUUAUUCUGUGAUAUGAGAACAAAUUUCUUCACAGAACAGGUGGUCAGACAUUGCUUCAGGCUGCCCAGGGAAGGGAUAAAACCACCAUCCUUGCAAGUGCCAAAAACCCCUUGCGGACAAGGCACCAGGGAACAAGGUUUAGUGGUGAACACGUCAGUGUCAGGUUAAUGGCUGGACUUGAUGCUAUUAGAGCAACCAGUCUUUCCCAGCAGUAAUAAUUCUAUCAGUCUGUGAUUUUUCACUUUUCCUAUUUAGGCAGAAGCACAAGACAGAAACGGUGUGGGAGAGGUGGGAAGCAGCUCUGGUGUCCUCCAAAGCAGACUUUCUCACAUGCCAAGUCACUUAACUUUUGUGUGCCAGUAACUUCCCUCUCAAGUAAAAUGUGUGGUGAAACUCAAUUUGUAUUUCUGCAAAAUGGACAGAAUGUAGCUAUCAAUUUAAGAAAAAUUAUAGAGGAAGCAAACCCAAUCCAAAAAUGUAACAUUUCAUUAAAAAUGUCACCAAUUACUUUAAUCUCUGCUUCUUAGAGCCUCUGCAGAGGAAGAGUGGCAGCAGCUCCUGAAGGGAUGGUAGACCCUUGCACCCUACUCCUUACCCUCAGAACUCCUCUGCAGAGCUGAAGAUCCUGGAAGUAGCCUUACCAGUAGACUGAAUGAUCCCCAAAGUAUGGCAAUCAGUGACACAACUGAGUAAAUUCUCAUGGCAGUAACCUUUCCUAUAUAUAAAUAUUUCAUCUGCAAGUAGCAUUGGGAAAAUGGUUCUGGUUUUGCAUGCAGACAAAGCCUUCUAAAUUUUAAGGAUUUUUGUUAAAAAGGUAACCCGUCAUCCUGUGUAGUGUGUCCAAUUAUUAGUAUUUAACUGGCAUGUCUAUUUAGUUUAAAAUGCAGAUUAUUGCAGUAUCUGUAGGUUUCAACUUCCAGUGGUAUUUCCUAAUACUUUCUAUGCCUUUCCAAGAUUGUAUCAAGUUUUACUGAAUUAUAGCUCUGGCUCUAAAACAAUAUUUGGGUUGAUUUAAAACAGACCAGCAGAAACAACAUUGUCUCUUCAGGCUUAAAGCAGUUUUUGGAAGUUGAAUGGCUGAUCUUUGUUUUACUGUUGCAUAUUCUCAGACUUCUUGACUUACUGGAAUCCCAAUGCAUGGGACUCAUGCUUGGCCAGGUUCAGUGGAUAAAUCUGCAUGCUGGAUCAUGGCAGGGGCAUUCAGGGCCCUUUGGGGAAUGUCCCUGCCAGAGGAAUAGACUCAGACCAGCCAGUGACCCACACCAGGGCUGCAAUGGUGUAAAGGCAGAUGGUACAGGCACAACAUGAACAGCAGUCUGGAUGCCAAAGAGUGACUUUCUUGUGGAAGACAAGAGCUGACACGUCUGCAUUCUCAGUGUUUGUGUUAUCACAUGCCUUUAGCAGUACAAUUAACCAGCAAUGCGUAGCUGAGAACAGCCCCCUUCGUGCCCUCCUUUGCAGCAGAUCCACAUGGCUUAUUAGCUAAAUCAUUCCCAGUGGAGAGGAUUAGAUGCAAGAAGUCCACCCAGGACAGAUGAGAAGACAAAUGCAGGGGGGAGGGCAAUGCACAGAAGAGCACAGUCCCAUCCUAAAAGUGCAGGAAAAGACCCAUGAGGAACAGGAGAUGGUAAUAAAGAGCAACUACCCUGGGGGUAGAAAGCUCUCUCCAUAGCAAUUACUUGACCAGUGCUCCUGAGGGCAGUCUCUGCAAAUUCCAGACCUGGCUCUCUCAGGGAUGAAGAAAUGUGGAGCCCUUUGCUGUGUCCCCCAGUCCUGGUGAUGAGAAAGAGGUUUGCACAGUCCCAAGCCCUUAUUGUGCUGACUGCCCUCAACUCACUCAGUUUUCCUCUCCCCACCCUGAUUUCCCAUUCAGCACUGCAUCCAACUAGGGGAAAUGAAAUGCAGUGCUGCUUUGUGCAUGUUAGUCACCAUCAGUCCUGCCCCAAAAAUGCUCAUAUUGUGUAUUGUUCUACUGAAGUUAAAAAACAAGCAAGAGCAAGUGAGCAGCCACUCACCAGCCCUGACUGGUGAGUCAAUCCAUAUUAUUUUCUCAGGAAUUUUCUUCAGGAGACUGGUUUACAAAAACACAAUGAUUUAACAUUACAUUUAUAAAAACACAUUUCAAAAAGCUGUAAGUGCUCAGCUCAUAGCUGCAGCUGUUAAGGGCUUUGUAACUACAAACAUGUAAAAUAUUUCUGUUGGUUUCCACACAUCAGUAACUAUAAUAGAUGAUAAACUACAGUUAAAAGAGCCUCAAAGAACCUUUUAUUGUUCAUUUCCUCAUUGCUCUCCAAGGAGCUUGACAAGAGAUAACCAUCCCUUUUCAUCCCUCAGACUUCAAGAAAUGACACAGCCCAGAAUAAAUUCCGACCAUUUUGUUGGUCAGGAUGUGGUGAUCUAAAAACCACAGAACUAAUAAUAGUUAAAUAAAGCAACACUCAAAUGAAAAAAAAAAAAAAACCCUCCCCUAACUGAUUUCAAAUCUUUAAGUAUAGGAGCAAUAAGCAUUUAUUGUUGAGAAUUUCAAUUUCCCGCCAUUGGAAACAGCAGCUCAUACAAGCAGGGAUAGCAGAAAAAGCACCUCUCUCUUUCUGUGGGUUUUCCAUUAUACAUACAGAAGGUUUAACCAAAUCCAGGUGUCCCCAUAAAAAGAUAAACUUCAAGUUCAGGCUUACAUUUGAACAAAAAGGAUCUGGGAGCCUGUAGUUUAAAGAAGUUAGCAGAGAAUCAUCAUGUCAUUUAUCAUUGGACUGAAGAUGGCAAGAAGAGGCGAGAAUAAUUCAUUUUCGUAACAUUUACUGGCCAAAAUCAAGAUUGUGCUGUACUUGGAGCCGUCCAACCCUUCCUCCCCCUCACUGGUAAUUGCUCUUUCCUCCACGGCAAUCUUUGGCUGCCUGCCCCUCCUCGGUCCUGCCAAGCUGCCCUGCAGAUGUACAUCCACACCCCCUGAUUUUCCUGCUGGGACAACUGCCUGCUGGCCAAACCACGGCCCCUGCCCUCGCAGGGGCUGCUGCAGCAGGGCUGGACAGCUGAGCUGGCACUGAUCAGGAGCUGAGCUGGCUCAGGAUGACAGUGGGUUCCUUCCAAGGGAUGGCAGAGACUGGCUGCAGGCAUGGGUGUGGAACUGCCCAGCUGCCUUAAAGCCAAUCAUGAAAUAAAAACAUUGCAUACCUGUCAGUAGUUCUUUGUUAGUUCUGCCUCAGGAUGACCUUAAAUAAAUGCUACAGGAAUGUUCUUACAUGAUAGGCAGCUAGCCUAGACCCUUGGAUAUUCAGAUGCUGUUUGCACUGUGAGUUUUAGUUAGCUUUCUCUACAGAGCCAAGCCUUGCUUGUUGGACUUUUUUGAAUGCAAUAUACUUUAAAAUCCUUUUAAAAUGUUCUUUCUUUUUCUAGGCACGCUUUUUAGAAGUGUGUUGUGAAAGUUUAUAAACUGGAAAUUCCUACUGCAAACUGUGACUUAAGUGAUCAUUGUUUGCAACUGCCCUAAAAUGACAUUUAAAUUUAUAGAUGCAGUGAGUCCAACUGUUCAUCUCUGGUAUAAAGCAAGUAACAGCCAUGCACAGUCAGCAGAUAAUAUAUCUCAAAACAGUAGGAUAAGACCAUGAUUACAUGGCCACCUUAAUUUGAGAUAAAUUUUUAAAAACCCACCCAGAUUAAGAGGAAUACAACUGCCAGGAGGCAGCGUGGCUGGGCAUGGCGGGGGACUGUCCUUUACUCCAGCAGCUGCUGGGGGUGAGGUGCUCAUUCUCAAAGGAUUUAUCAUUUACAUUUCAGUACCAGUAUCAGUGCCUGGAAUCCACUCUGCUUUUUUUGAUUGUUUGUUUGUUUGAUUGACUGUGGGGUUUUAGUGGUUUUUUGGUGUUUAGUUUAUUAACUACUCUUUAGGAAAGUACAAACGGUACUAAAAUUGCAGAUCCAAUAGGUAGCAAAGCAAUCAAUGUUACCAAAUAAUGCAGGCUUGAAGUUCUCAAAUUCAAGGCUAGAUUAUGCGGUGACACAGUAAAGAUAGUGGUAAAAAAUACUGGUUUUCAGCAGUACUGAUACUUCACCCCAUUAUCUAGGCAGCAAUGGGAAUAUUCAGGGUCUAAAACUGCAAAGCACAAAGUCUGUGCCAGUACACUCGAGUUUUCUCCUUCAGCAGCAACAAGGUCAACCAAACAAAAAGGUUUGAUGGGCUGUUUGGUACUGAUAGCAGCUCUGGCAUCAGCAAUUAACAGCAUAAAGAGAUGUUGAAAACACUGCCACCAAUUAAUUUCCACUGAAAAUGUGAAUAUUGCUGUACAUGUGGCAACUGUAUGAAGGAAAAUAUUUAAAAAUGCUAGAAAGAGUGUGAAAUCCAGUCUUGCACUAAUCUUUUCACUCCGCAGCAGCCAGGAUUCCCCUCCUGGACUCUGUAUGGAUCCAGAACAGAUUUCUAGCAGCUGACAGCACAAAGCAGGCCCAUGUUCUGCAGCAAAGCACAUCCCUUUGAGACCAAGGUCACCCAUAGCCAUAAAGCAAAGGAAUCCCCAUGUUCAGCAGACAAGCCAGGCUGCAGAGGUGCUGGAUGUGGUACCACAGAAGAGCCUAAGAUCUAAGACUAACUUCUACUUAAAAGCACACACAGGCAGCACUGAAGUUUUUGCUCUCAUUCUGCUAAGCUUUACACUGUCACAAUGGAAUGAGGAAAAGAGAUAAAAAUCAGAGGCCCUAAAAGUUAUGUUUCCAGUUAGAUUUUUAUCUUUGGUUGUUGGUCGUUUUUUUUUAAGAGUUCAUGCAGUCUUGAUAGGAUUAGUAAAGUAAAGCUGGAACCUCACAAUUCACAACCAACCGCAUGUUGCUGGAAGGUUAAAAAAAUCAUACCAUGGCCUUUCCUCCACAACUGAGGUUACUGGAUGGAACAGAAUAAAUUGCAGAUGUGUGUUCAGUUCUGUAAAUAUCUCUAGUGAAAGUGUAAUUGGCUGUACAGCGGGUGGUGUGGGAGUAGGCAAGUAUCCAGGCUUUGCAUAAAAAAGAUUUUGUCUCUUGAGAGAUGAGUUUCUUGUUAAUUCUUUACAGCAGUGUGAAGCUGACCCACUGUUCCAUCAGGGGGGCUAGAAACUAGGUACCUGCAGAGCACGCUACAACCCAUAGCAGAGAAAAUUAACUCCAUUUACAGAUUUAAAAUAUAAGUUCAUCAUUCUUGUGCUCCAUCUUGGCCUGUAACUGCAGAGUGGUGUGGAUGGUUUGCCUGAGCAAGGCUUCAUUACACAUUUUCAUUACAUAUAUAUUACAUAUUUCUUUCCAUUUUUAAAAAGAGGCUGAAUUUUUUAUAGUAUUCCAAACAAAUUUGUCUCCAACUGAAAAAAAACCUCAAUGUGAAUUAAACAACAUAAUCUAUAAACUGCAUAAUACAAAAAAACCCCCCAUCUAAUAAAGUAAUAUCUAUUUUAUAACAUAGUACAGUAUGUCACAUAGCAUAAAAAGUCAUAGAUUCUCAAGGGCUUCAUCAUUGGUUCAGAUAGUCUCUCCCUCCCUUCCUGCCUUCCAAAUGAUGGGAAUCUGUGGGAAUUCAAGUCUUUUUUCUUUACCAGGAAGAGAAUUAAACCAUUGCUGAGUAAACUCCACAAACAGAGUGGACAAAUUAGAGAAGAAAAAGAGCUGACCUAAGAGCCUAUGAGAACAGCUCUUGCUUUGGAGGACGAGUCUCUUGGGCUGCACAAGUCCCAGCUCUGCAAGUGGUGGAGUUUUGCUGACAGAUCAGCUGAGCAGGAAUUAUUCACAAAGGGAAAGUGGAAACCUUGGGACAGUUAGGGAGGCAUCACCACAGCUCACCAGCAAACUACUUGAACAAAGGAUGACCACAGACCAAGAAGAGAAGGCAGACACAGAACAGGAACGCCUAGGCACAGAUUCAUUCAUUGAUCAGGAAAGCAUGCUUUUAGAGAUCAGGAGAGCAGAACCAUGCUGAAAGGGUCCUGGCUGAAAUUACAGUUCCCAAACUCCAAACAGAAGGUGUUGGUACCAGUGACAACCCAUGGUCCUUCAAACUCCCUGCUGCUGACUCUUGCUUCUGAAAUGAAGAAGAACUAGGCUUGAAAAGCUUAAACAGCCACUGGCAAUUUGUAUGAUUUGAGGAUCUAAGGUAUAACAACAAUAAAUACUAAUUUGGUGAGAAUCAGUUUAAGGAAUCAGAUAGCUUUCUUUUAGCAGUUUGAGUAGGACACUGAUCUCUCCAGCCAGUGGGAAGAACAGAUGAUCAGGAAAAUGAGUGAUUAAUUUGUCUCUCUCACAAGCCUCAUACUUAGCCAGGUCUUCUUGUUCCAUCACACUCUGUUGCAGUUAUGUCACAUUAAAUAACAAUCUGAUGCAUAAUUUAAGUCACUAGUUUGAAGUCAAGUUGUAACUUCUCAAAAAAUACUUGCACCUUAAAAGCAGAAAUAAACUUACAGAAUAAAUCACUGAAAAAAGAGGAAAAUAGUUUUACUGACAACAGCUGGAAAUAUUCAGCAGUGUCAUCUGCAGAGAACUAGAUUUUUCAGCCAGUCAAUAACGAAUAUUAAAGCAACCUGGGAACUUCAAAAUCCUGCUGUUGCUGCCUGCACUGGUGAUGACAGCAGACAGCUAAACAGAGCUGCAAAUAACUUAGAAGGCAUCACAACACUGACUCCUUUCACAGCCUCGUGUUGCCCCCAGCUCCCACUUGUUAAUGCACUUGCAGCAACCACUCUUCUCACAACACUGUCACAGGCAAAUACCCUUCAGCAAACCAGGUCCAAAAAUACUUUAAUAAAGCUAAUUGACUAGAUAUUUACUGAAUUAUUUUCUCAGCUUCACACCUGAAACUUCAGACUGUGAGUGGUAAUCCUAU